CAACUUUUAACAACGGAUCUCUAGGCUCUCGCAUCGAUGAAGAACGUAGCAAAUUGCGAUAACUAUUGUGAAUUGCAUCUCGUGAAUCAUCAAGUUUUUGAACGCAUCUUGCACUCUUUGGUAUUCCAAAGAGUACACUUGUUUCAG
rnacentral:rRNA from 1 species